GACGAACGCUGGCGGCGUGCUUAACACAUGCAAGUCGAACGAAGUGGCGAACGGGUGAGUAACGCGUAAUCAACCUGCCCUUCAGAGGGGGACAACAGUUGGAAACGACUGCUAAUACCGCAUACUGAAGGAGGGGAUUGCGUCGUAUUGGCUAGUUGGAGGGGUAACGGCCCACCAAGGCGAGGAUCAGUCGCCGGGUGGAGAGGAGGAACGGGCACAGUGGGAACGGGACACGGCCCAGAAUCCUAAGGGAGGCAGCAGUGGGGAAUCUUCCGCAAUGGACGAAAGUCUGACGGAGCAACGCCGCGUGAGGGAGGACGGCCUUCGGGUUGUAAAGCUCUUUUAAUCGGGACGCGGUACCGGAAUAGAAAGCCACGGCUAACUACGUGCCAGCAGCCGCGGUAAUUC
rnacentral:rRNA from 1 species